UCGGAUUGUAGUCUGCAACCCGACUACAUGAAGCUGGAANCGCUAGUAAUCGCGGAUCAGAAUGCCGCGGUGAAUACGUUCCCGGGUCUUGUACACACCGCCCGUCACACCAUGGGAGUCGGAAAUGCCCGAAGUCUGUGACCCAACCUACGGGAGGGAGCAGCCGAAGGCAGGUCGGAUGACUGGGGUGAAGUCGUAACAAGGUAGC
rnacentral:rRNA from 1 species